rnacentral:rRNA from 1 species
GACGAACGCUGGCGGCGUGCUUAACACAUGCAAGUCGAACGGAAAGGCCCUGCUUUUGUGGGGUGCUCGAGUGGCGAACGGGUGAGUAACACGUGAGUAACCUGCCCUUGACUUUGGGAUAACUUCAGGAAACUGGGGCUAAUACCGGAUAGGAGCUCCUGAUGCACGGUGGGGGUUGGAAAGUUUCGGCGGUUGGGGAUGGAAUCGCGGCUUAUCAGCUUGUUGGUGGGGUAGUGGCUUACCAAGGCUUUGAAGGGUAGCCGGCCUGAGAGGGUGACCGGCCACAGUGUGACUGAGGUACGGGCCAGACUCCUACUGGCGGCAUCAGUGGGAAAUAUUGCACAAUAGGCGGAGGCCUGAUGCAGCAACGCCGCGUGCUGGAUGACGGCCUUCGGGUAGUAAACCGCUUUCGCCUAUGACGAAGCGGGAGUGACGGUAAUGGGUAAAGAAGCACCGGCUAACUACGUG